GAUGCCCUCGGUCGCUGAUGCCCUCGCUGCCGAUGAGGCCAUCGAUUUCUCCGUAAUAAAGACGCUGGUGGACCUCUCGCCUGAGUACCUCAUCGGCGCCCCAGAUUCCGUGCGGGAGCGGGUGGCGCUCCGAGGCCUCGAGAAGCAUGGAACCUUCGCCGACGCCGCCAAAGGUGCUUCUGCAGUGGCGCCACCUCCGUCGAAGAUUCUUAGGGUUGACGCCGUCCGCUCUUGCGAGGACUUGCUGGUUGAGCUCACCGAGCAGGUUGGAAGCUCUGGAAUUCGGGAUAUAAUUAUGCCUUUUAGACAAGAUAUUCAAAACUUUAUUUGUAUCAAGAAACCUACACUACCAGAGUCUUCUUUGGAAUUGCUUAGAGAAGUGGACCCAGAGAUCCAAUCUAUGGCUGCAUCAUCAUCAGUGGAGCAGAAUGGUAUCAAGAAACACGACAAUCAUCAGUCCUUAUGCAAUGUCCACCAUCUUAACUCCAAUAUUGAUACACCUAGGCCCACUAUUGCCAGUACUGAGCUUCAGCCUGGGAAUUUAACAAAUUUAGUCAACAACCUUGAAAAAGGUAAUUUCAAGCAGUGUCCAGUCGAAUCAACUGUUGAUCUUGAUAAGCCACUUGAAACAGACAGAAGGACCUGGUGAUCUGUCUGAAUGUGGGAUCGUCGCAAUCUUGGCUCGAAAGGACCUGGUGAAUUCACGAAUUUGAGGGCUAUAAAGCUGUUGUUAUUUGUGUCCAGGCAUGUCAAGAUAAUAUUUUUGCUAUUAUGUGCUCUUUAGGAGAAGACCGGAGCUUUUGCAUGCUGUCAUCAACGAAUAGGAAGCUAUCAGAUCUUCCAAAGUUAAAAAACUUAGAACGCAAGAUAUUGGUGUUCUGAACCCAUAUGCAAUUCAUAUCUAAUUGCUUGCUGUGUUGCAGGCACAAAGUGUGAAGUGCAAAAAUAUUUUUGGAAUCAAAAUAUCCCAUAUCAAAUCUUACAGUUUACACAAAAAGCGAUUCAGUGGAUGUCGCCACACAGCUUGCCUGCCUCCUUGCAGUCUUCUCCAAGCUGGCUUUUCAGAUAGGUGGUGAUGGAUAUGCAGUGUGAAGUGAAGAAAGGAAAGACAACUAUGAGGUUACUAGGUGACUCAAGUUGUUCCGUUGAGUUUUCUUCUGAGAUCAUGCAUGCUUGCAAAUCAUAGUUUAGUUUGGAAUCCAUGGUCUUGAAUUAGCAUUGUAUCUUGAAUUGGAUUGUAACAAAACAAAAUUCUUGUGGUAUGAAUGUAUGCUACCGAUGUGCUCUUUUUUC